rnacentral:misc_RNA from 1 species
UGCUGCAGUCUGGCGAACAUUGUUGGCAUCUUGUGCAUAUCAUGGUGAAACUAACGAAAGAUAAGAGGAUGAAGAAGAAAGAAGAGAAGGGUUGGAUUGAAGUGAAAGGUAAGGUUCAUGCUCAGAAUAGGAGGCGUGAAAGAACAGCAGAAAUUUAUUCCAGCGUAGCUGAGUUGAUGGAGAAGAAUGGGAAAUUAGAAUAUGAGCCGGUUUGGGAUGAGAUGUUGCAUGAAGUAGGGGAAAAGCGAAGGACUUUGGUAUCAUAGCGAAAAGCUGGCCCUCGCAUUUGUUGUGGUUAGCGAUGUAGUAGCCCCACCAGGGCAGGCAUUGAGGAUUGUGAAAAACUUGAGGAUUCGUACGCAUGGUUUUAAAUCGCCGUUGGGAGUAAAAAAAACAGACAUGUAAGGACUGUAAUAUAACGGUAA